rnacentral:lncRNA from 1 species
AGAGCGUCUGCUAAAUGACUUAAAUGUAAAUGUAACUGAACAAUGUUAAGCUCUCCUCAAUUUAAGGUAAGGUUUGUCCCUUGUUUGAUCUAAAUUAAUAUUAUUUCAUGAUGCCAUCGUUUUUUUUUUAUUUGCAAAUCUUUCUGACCGAAAUUUGACAAUUCCAUGGAUAUCAAUCAAUAGAGGCAAGAUGUAUGCUAUAAUAAUAUGUUGAAGGCUAGCUGUAUUGGGUGCAGAUGACUGAACGGCUCACUUUUGUCUCUGUCUGCAAGUAUAAAGACAAGGCAUACAAAGGUAUGUUAUGCAGACGUCACCCUCCCGACACCUCUGAAUAAGACAGGAAAACUGCUUGGUCACCAUCCACUGCAAAAUAAUUCUGGCUAUGGAUACAGAGAACAUCAACACAUUAUCAACAGGACAGAGGAUAUACCCAUUGGACUCGGGGCUCUGCUGGGAGUUUACCUCAUAUUUGGAUUUUUUUUAUUCUGCUUUGCCACUAAAAUCAUAAACACUGGCAACAAAACUGUUAUUAUUACUACUAAUUAUAAUAAAAAUAAUAGGGGGUAGUUCAAAAAUGUACCCUUUGAGGAUCCAUUAAAAGGGGUUCUGUGAAGAACCAUUUAAAGGGUUCUUUGCUAAACUUAUAGGGGUUUAAAUUUGUUUCAAAUUGAAGAACCCCUAAAGGAUACUCCAGGAACAUUUUUAUUUUUAGAGUGUAAGGUUUGUCCCUUGUAUGAUCUAUAUUGUUUUAUGAUCCCAUCUAUCGUGCGUGUGCAAAUCUUUCUAAAACAGAAAAUUGACAAUUGAAUGGCUCUCAAUCCACAAAAGUUAGAAAAUGUAGGCUAUAAGAAUAUGUUGAAGGCUAGCUAUACUGGGUGCAGAUGACUGAACUACUCAUGUUUGUCUGUCCGCAGUUAUACAGAGGAGUAGGCAUACAAAGGUAUGUCUAUUGGUAUGUUAUGCAGAUCACAUUUAGCAUCCUUCUCCCUUACCUCUUCAGUGAAUAUCCCAUAGACCUCCACAUUAUGG